rnacentral:sRNA from 1 species
CAGAAGUCGAGCAUCGCCCUCCAGGACGC